rnacentral:rRNA from 1 species
CCUACGGGCGGCAGCAGUGGGGAAUAUUGCACAAUGGGGGAAACCCUGAUGCAGCGACGCCGCGUGAGUGAAGAAGCGUUUCGGCGCGUAAAGCUCUGUCAGCGGGGAAGAAAAACGGUUCGCGAGAGCCGCGGACGGUACCCGACCAAGAAGCCCCGGCUAAAUACGGGCCAGCAGCCGCGGUAAUACGCAGGGGGCAAGCGUUAUCCGGAUUCACGGGGUGUAAAGGGGGCGUAGACGGCGAGACAAGGCUGGAGUGAAAGGCCGGGGCGCAACCCCGGGACUGCUCUGGAAACUGGCUGGCGGGAGUACAGGAGAGGUAAGUGGAAUUCCUAGUGUAGCGGUGAAAUGCGUAGAUAUUAGGAGGAACACCAGUGGCGAAGGCGGCUUACUGGACGGUAACUGACGUUGAGGCUCGAAAGCGUGGGGAGCAAACAGGAUUAGAUACCCUGGUAGUC